CAUAUAACAUUUUUUAAGAAUAAAAUAUGAAUGGGAAGAUGUAAAACUAUACUCAUGUGUUAGAUAACUUUUCUAAAAGAAUUGUUAAAACUUAAAAGGCAAACCUUCUAGCCUAAGUUAUUCACAAAGUUUGAUCUUUUACUCAUAUUGUCAUAAUUUGAAUUCAAUAUACAAGUUUUCUGGUAGUGUAGAUGAUUUAUAAAUACUUCUAUAAAUUUCUUAUGAGCUCAAAGGUAUACCUUAAGAACAAUUUGAAGCAAUUCAUCCCAUGAAAAUAAACUUUUAAGAUACCCAACUAAAAUUUAAUCUCUCUUUUUUUCUUCUUAACUCCAAGACUCAAACCCAUUACCUUUCAAAGAAGAAUCAAGUGCAAGAAGAUAAGUUGAGAAGACACCACAUCCAACUCAAAACCUUAAGGGUCUUAUUUAAACCAAAGAAAAUAUGGCUGCUGCUAUUGGGGGAGGGGCAUUACUCUCUGCUUCUGUUCAGGUGUUGUUGGAUAAGAUCAUUUCCACUAGUGUAUAUAAAAAGUUUUACCCAUAAUUAAAGUGAUCUGCGUGCAAAUUAAUAAAUAAGAUUACUUCAAACAUUACAGAACAAAAUGAGGAAACACCCAAAAUUGAAGUAAUCUGUGAUCCAACAAUAAUAAGGAAACACCCAAAAUAAUCACAAUGACCUGAACUUUUUCCUACGCCUACAUGAAAUGGCAAGCAUUUAAAAUAACUUAAAGAACAAAAAACUGCAGAAGCAUAACUCUGAAGAGGAAUUAAAUUUUAACAGGGUUGAAAUUUUAAAAAGUUAAAUCAUACUCUACUAUCUACCACAAUAAUGCAAUAAACCCUAAACAGAUAAACAUAUUGGGUGUUAAUAUUGCAAUUCACAUCAAAAACAGAUUCAGUGUCAAUAUCCUAACUUACAACUAACUUCAUUAUAUUAUAAUUUGCAAAUACUAGCUCACUUUUUCAUGACAUUAUCUUGAAUAAAUUCAAAAUAAAUUCACCAAACAACAUAUUUAGAACCAAAAUUAGCAUGAUGAAUAAACAGGAACAACAGUUAGUCAAACUAAGGGAACACCAAAAGUAUUUAGGGCACCCUGAUCUUCUGUAUGCAUAAAUGAAAUGCAGGGGUUUAAAACCACUUGCAUGAUUUCAGAAGAAUUCAUAGAAGUCAACCGUUGACAAGCAACUUAAUUGCAAGCCAGAACCAAGGAUUGACCAUAAUCUUUUGCACAUACGACACUGGAUAUCUCGUCAUACAGAAACAUCAUUACUAAGAUUGAAAAUAUUGCUCUUGAUCUUCAAUAUAACAAGAUAUUGUCAUAAAAUGUCUAGUUGACCAUAAGAUAUGAUAGCACCCAUGGAAAUCAUGAAAACAAGUAAAUAUUUUAAAGGAACUAAUAACAUUGGCAAAGGAAUUACCACACAUAUAUAUCACCUAAUAACUGCUUCUAGUUCUAUAAAAUUUUGGUUCUUAAUCUUCACUGCUUACAUUCCUAUGCUUGCAAUAACAUGCUACACAUGUUGUAUCAUCUAAAGUUCUCAACAUUACGGUUGCAACAUGCUAAGAUCUAAUCACUAUAACUACUACUAGUAGGAAUUACCAUUCUUGUACCCAAGCCAUAUGAUUCAA